rnacentral:rRNA from 1 species
AGUCACUGACAUUAGAUACCCCGGUAGUCCAGGGUGUAAACGCUGCAGACUUGGUGUUGGAAGCCCUUUGGGGGCAUUCAGUGCCGGAGAGAAGUUGUUAAGUCUGCUACUUGGGGAGUACGUCCGCAAGGAUGAAACUUAAAGGAAUUGGCGGGGGAGCACUGCAACGGGAGGAGCGUGCGGUUUAAUUGGAUUCAACACCGUAAACUCACCAGGGAAGACUGUUACAUGAAGGCCGAGAUGAAGACUCUGCUAGAUUUUCAG